CCAAGGAGUUCAGCAUGCAGGCGAGUCUGAGGGUGAUGCAAAACCCGAAGGCGCAGUGAAAGCGAAGGCUGCCUUGGGCAGCUUAGAUGUGAUCCGUUGAUUAGCGAGAGCUAUCACGGCGCAACAUCGUCUCGUCGUGACCUUGUGUGGGUGCGGCGAAGAUUGAGCCUGCACGCUGUGACCCGAAAGAUGGUGAACUAUGCUAGAGGAGGACGAAGCCAGAGGAAACUCUGGUGGAGGUCCGAAGCGAUUCUAACGUGCAAAUUGAUCGUCAGACUUUGGUAUAGCGGCGAAAGACUAAUCGAACCAUCUA
rnacentral:rRNA from 1 species